rnacentral:rRNA from 1 species
AGGACGAACGCUGGCGGCGUGCUUAACACAUGCAAGUCGAGCGGAAAGGCCCUUCGGGGUACUCGAGCGGCGAACGGGUGAGUAACACGUGAGCAAUCUGCCCUUAGCUUCGGGAUAGCUCCGGGAAACCGGAAUUAAUACCGGAUAUGACUAUGGCUGACAUCAGCCACGGUGGAAAGUUUUUCGGCUAGGGAUGAGCUCGCGGCCUAUCAGCUAGUUGGUGGGGUAACGGCCUACCAAGGCGACGACGGGUA